rnacentral:lncRNA from 1 species
GGUGGUAAAAGAAUUGGCUAUGUUGGUGUUAUAAUCAUGGUGACCAAUUUUUUUUCUAUAAAAUGAAUUUAAAAUUUCAUACCAAUCCAAAAGUGAAUUAAACUAUUGGUGGAGUUGCACAUUCACAUUUUACUAUUGAGGUAAAUGAUUGUGUACUCUUACUGAGGUAUGAUUUAUACUGUCUCUCUCUCUCUCAGUUGGUCAGUCAUAAAUCUCAUCCAUAUUCAGGACAGGUGUGUAUGUGUGUGUGUGUUUGUGUUACUGGUGUCAUUUCCAUCCUGUGUAAUCCCCAAUCCCGCUGUUCCUCUGUGAAAUCCUUUGUCAGUCUGAGCCAGGCCAUGCCACUAGCCAGGAAGCUUCAACACAUUUACCACUUUUAACCACUCUUUUCUUUACCAGGAGUGUGUGUGUACGCGAGGAUGAGUUUGUGUCAGUCCUGGUGCUCCUGUAUGGAUGUGUAAGUGUGAUGGCGGACCUGAAUACAGUUGUAUAGCGGGCAGUGGAUUAAGCUUCAGGUGGCCAUGUCCUCGCGGGUCACACCCCUCGUCCCUCCCAAGAUCCUCUUGGAGGGAGACGAGGUCACCAUUGGCAGCACAGAGGAGAUAACGAACCCGCAGUGCUGUGGUGCUCUAUUUAAUGUCAACAACAGCAACAACAACGAAGAGUAAGU